GCUUUAGACUGACCGAAAGAGCAAUUGUCCUGCCUUCAGGGCCUAAACAAGAAGACUAGAUCUGUUCCCCCACCUUCUUGAGUUGAGAUGAUAAGAAUCAGAGAUGUUAAAAGAUGAACAUGACGGUCUGAUCCGGACAGAGAAAAAAAGGAAAGAGGAUGCAGCUGAUCAGAAGAGACGUAAUUGUCGCACAGCAAGUUGGGAAAAGUCCAAGACAACACUCAUUUUGUAGGCUGCAGAAAAUGAACUUCCAGAGAAAAGUAUGACAAAGAAAUUCAAUACCUGUCACCAAAUCCAGGAAAGUAUAUUAGUAACUAGACUAACUUUCCUGCACCUGUCCUUCAUUUAAAGAACCAAAAAGCCCGGAACACUCUUUUAGACUAAUUUUGCUUCAAAAAUCCACAGAAAAAGACAGUACACUUCAUGUGAAUGGGGUCCUCAAAACACGAUCUGCAUGUGGCAGAAAAAUUCCAAAUAUACAGGAAUUAUACAGCACAAUCUGUAGCCAAGUCCACAUACUAUAUAACAUGUGAGGCUUUUACUGCAGAAUUAUUAAAAUGUAAUAUCAGCAACGCAAGUGCUAAAUUGGCAACUAUAAACCACA